AUUGAACGCUGGCGGCAGGCCUAACACAUGCAAGUCGAACGAGUGGCGGACGGGUGAGUAAUGUCUGGGAACCUGCCUGCUGGAGGGGGAUCACUCCUGGACACCGUAGCUAAUACCGCAUACCCUCAGAUGUGCCCAGCUGGGAUUAGCUGGGUGGUGGGGUAACGGCUCACCAGGGCGACGAUCCCUAGCUGGUCUGCGAGGAUGACGAGCCACACGGGAACGGAGACACGGUCCAGACUCCUACGGGAGGCAGCAGUGGGGAAUAUUGCACAAGGGGCGCAAGCCGGAUGCAGCCAUGCCGCGUGUAUGAAGAAGGCCUUCGGGUUGUAAAGUACUUUCAGCGGGGAGGCGUUACCCGCAGAAGAAGCACCGGCUAACUCCGUGCCAGCAGCCGCGGUAAUAC
rnacentral:rRNA from 1 species